rnacentral:lncRNA from 1 species
UUAUAAAUAUAUUUCCAUAUCAUCUCACAAAUUCUCCGUGAAUAUGCAGAGUGCCAAGAACUAGAUGGAAAGGCAGGAAGGUAAGUAUGACGCCCAUCCAAUGAACUCAAUCAUCUAGAGCAGAAACCGAACUGAAUACACUAUCAAGCGGUUGAGUCCCACAGUGAGAUGUUCAAUGUGGAACUCUUAACUCAAACACUCGACAAGGCAACAUAAUUUUCAAUGUAGUAAUUGAAUCUGAACUCUUAACAGCAAGUGAAUAUCUUCCAUUACAACUGAGUUUUAUUUUCUCACAAAUUAUAUACAUUAACAAACAUUCUAG